UCCGCUCUCCUGACUGCGGGAGGCCCUCGGCCUGGCUGGCCCAUAAAGCGGGGACCACAUUCCUCAGGGAGGGAGUGUCUAGUCUAGGCCCGCAGAGCUGCAAAGGUGACAGCUUGAGAUUGCAGAAGGGGCGCCGGUGAUAUACUUCCGCCUCGACUCCCCUGGACGCAGGCGGCCAGACUCGGAGGUAUAGGAAAAAGUGAGAAGUCCAGGUCCCUUCCGGUUUUCCAGGGGGCAGGCCAUCCUCAGGAUUUCACCUUUCUUUGUUUCCGCUUUUCUUUCUGAUCACCUGAAUCCUAUCAGCCCCUUCCUGCCCACCUCAAAUUCCAACUUCCAAAGUUGCCCCCUGGCUAAACUCAGCCAGGGCAGUUAACAGUGAACCCUUACUUGCCUGGGGCCUGUUUACAAACACUGUCUCCUUGGAUCUUCAAAGCCGCCUUGGGACUUGGGAGUAGACUUUUCUCCAUUUUGUAGAUAGGAUACUGAGCUUCAAAGAGAUGAAGCAGCUUGACCAAGAUCAUCUACAUGACCAGUCUCAAGCCCACUCUGUCAAGAGCCCAGGUGGGUCCAACAUUUGAAUGCUUACUAUGUGUUAGCCAUUAUUCUAAACGCUUUACAAGAACAAUUGUAAACUGAGAGAAACUGAGGGAAGGCCAUCUAGCUUGUGAGUGGCAGACCUGGGAGUCACCAUAGGGGAAGAACUUGGCUGUACAUCACCACCACCUCUGCUUUCUGACACUUGUUACAUUCAAUUCAGCACUUGAUUAUAAUGUCUUGCAUUGUUUCUAAUUGUUUUAAUUUAUAUCACCCGUUUCCUGGAAAGAUCAUAAUCUCCCUAUGGCAGAAAUCAUGUAGGAAGCACUUGGUAAAGCUAUGCUGAAGUCAGACAAAAUAACUUGAAGAGUUUGUGAGAAAUCACACAAUCUCACCUCCAAGAAUAAAAAUCUAGAUUUGGGCCCUGGGUUACCAGUUGCAGCCCCUCCACAGUUUUGAGCCUCUCUCCUUCCUUUCCAAUUCUUGCUUCAGUCAUCUCACCCUGCUAUUAAAUCAUUUAUUAUUAUAAUAAUACCUUGAAUCUCAGUAAUGCCUUUAAUCUUAGAUCUCAAAGUAUACUAACAAAUACAGAUUAAUUCAUCUUCACAGUACCCCCUCCCACGGGGAAAUAGAGGUGUUCUCCCCACUUUAUGAGUGAGAAAACCAAAACACCCAAGAGUUAAGAUGACUCACUAUGGAAACCAGUAGCAGAGUUUCUUUCUCAUCUCUUCCCCUCCUCCUUCCUAACUCAAGGCUGCCAACACUUGCAUGAAAAUUUCAAAUCCCAGAGACAAAGGCCAUUGAGUUUUCACAAUAAAGGACAUUUCCAAACUGUCAUUUCAGCUGCUCUAUUGUGGUAGACCUCAGGAGAGGGAGGGGAUAUAAACACACAGAAGGUCCCCAAGGGCUCUGUUCCCUGGCUUCCAGAAAGAGCUGUGGUUUGCUGAGAUGAAGGAAUAAAACCCCAAGCAUGGAAGAAAUCCUCCUUGAAGGUGACCCACAAAACCCUAUUAAGCUCUGAAAAGAGUGCCCUCCAGAGUUCCAAGUGGCAUUUUAGCAAUGUUUCUCGAAGCAUAAGCCACAUGCAACAGAAGAAAAGGAAAAUAGAUAAAUUGGACAUCAUCAAACAUUAAAAGUUGUUUUGUUUUGUUUAUUUUUGGAAAGGUACGUCCUCAGUCCUUUUUAUUUUUUAUUGUGAGAUAUGUUCUCUCUAAGUUGCCAGAGUCACACCAAGUUGCUUAGACUGGUCUCAACCUUGUGAUCCUCCUGCCUCAGAUUCCCAAAUUGCUGAGUUACAGGCCUGCACCACCAUACAUGGCAAACUUUAUAACUUUUAUGAUUCAAAGAACAUCAAGAAAAUGAAAAGACAAACCAAACAAUGAGAAAAAUGUUUGCUAAUAUUUCAGGAACUUACUGUAACACAUAAAGAACCCCUGUAACUCAAAAAGGCAAGUAACCCAAUUUUAAAAUAGGCAAAAUAUCUCAAUAGAUAUUUCUCAAAGACAUACAAAUGGCCAAUAAGCACAAGAACAUAUACCCAACAUCAUUAGUCCUUAGGGAAAUGCAAAUUUAAAGCACAAUAAAAUACUACUUCAAGCCCCACAGGAUGCCUAUAAGCAAAAAUAUAUAUUAACAAGUGUUGGUAAGGAUGUGGAGAAAUUGGAGCCCUUUUGUGCUGUUGGUGGAAAUGUAAAAUAGCGCAGCUAUUUUGGAAAACAGUCUGGCAAUUCCUCAAAAGGUUAUAAAGAUUUGCUGCAUGACCUCACAAUUCCAGGCCUAUAUACUCUGAGAAAUGAAAACACCUGUCUAAACAAGAGCAUGUACACAAAUAUUCAGAGCAGCAUUAUUCAUAAUAGCCCCAAAGUAGAAACAACCCAAAUGUCUAUCAGCUGAUGAGUAAACAAAAUGUGGUAUAUCAGGACAUAGAGAAAAUGGGGAAAAGUCCACUCCUAUGUUGGAAUAUUUAUUCAACCAUAAAAAGGAAUGAAAUAUUGAUUCCUGGAUGAACUUAAAAAUAUUAUGCUAAGUGGCAAAACCUAGACACAAAGGACCAAAUAUUGUAUAAUUCCAUUUAUAUGAAAUGUCCAGAAUAGGCAAGCCUAUACAGAUGGGAAGUAGAUUAGUGUUUGCCUAGGGUGGGGGUGGAGUUGGGGGAGGUUGGAGGGAAUAGGGAGUGUCUGCAAACAAGUCAGGUUUCUUUUUUAGCAGUGAUACAAAUGUCCUAAAAAUAUUGUGAUGGUUGCAUGACUCUGAAUAUACUAAAAGGCACUGAAUUGAUUUUGUGUUUGUUUUGUUUUGGUUGCUGGGAUUGCACCCAAGGCCUUAGCAUGCUAAGUAUGUGCUCUAUCACCAAUACCUCAACCUGAAUUGUACAUUUCAGUCUGCGGGCGAGGGAUACUGGGGAUCAAACCCAGGACCUUGUGCAUGUAAAGUGCUCUACCACAGAGUUAUAUUCCCAUCCCAUUUUUUAAAUUUUAUUUUGAGACGGGGUCUUGUUAAAUUGCCCAGGAUGGCCUCAAACUUUCAAUCCUCCUGUCUCAGCCUCUGGAGUGGUUGGAAUUACAAGAGUGCAUCACCAUGCCCAGCUGAAUUGCACAUUUUAAAUGGGUGAAAUAUGUCUCAAUAAAGCUAUUAUUAACAAACAAACAAACAAACAGGUAUGAGCUAAUUACCUGAUCCAGAGUUACUGGAGCUGCCAGUAAUCAGAAUCUAUCAGGAUCUUAGACCCUUCAGUGGGCCUGGUCUGACCCAAUUCUCUGCAUUUCAGCAGAGCAUGCUAUAUGAAGAAUCAGAGAAUCACUGUAGUGCAAUGCCUUACAACACUCAGCCAUUCAAAGCCUCUGGGCCCCAGGCUUCCUGAAACAAGUAAAAAGGAAGGUUUGUAAUUAACUCUGAAAGGGUAGUGGCCUCCAGGAAUGGGGCUCCCCUUCUUCAAGUUCUUUAUUUAUAGCUUUGUCUGGACUUCUUAAUGUCAGAAAAAAAAAUUGACAUCAGAAAGGGGAAGAAACAGUGGGAGAAGGAAGAUGACUUCUUCCCUCCCUUACCAGGUUCAGCUUGCAACUACUGCUAUGGGGCGCUCUAGAGGAAAUGAGCUGUUUGUUUGAGUUUGUGUAUACAACAAAAGCAUUUGCCAAUCACUUGUGGUUUUUCAAGAACCAGGGAGCCCCGUGUGAACCAUUUCUGGAGAUCACUUAUGUUCACCUUCCUUAUCAGUAGAUAAAGGGGCCUAGUCAGCACUUACAACACCUGAGCCCGGCAGUUGGCACUGAGACAGCCUUUGAUACUCUAAGGUUGAUUUAUACACAAGCUUGCUGUUCUUUCCCUGACUUCUGGCCUUUGGGCUGUUUUUCUAUCUGCAUCUCCAUGUACAAACAAGCCUUAACCCUGCUUCAUGCUAAAGUAAGAGAUUUUCUAGAGCUGGAUGUCAUGGUGUACACCUUUCAUCUCAGCAAUGAGGGAGGCUCAGGCAGGAGGAUUACAAGUUCAAGGCCAGCCUGGGCAACCUAAAAUAAAGAAUAAAAAUAAAUCAAAAUAGCUGGGCACAGUGGCACACACCUAUAAUCACAGCAGUUCUGGGGACUGAAGCAGAAGGAUUGCAAGUUCAAAGCCAGUGUCAGCAACUUAAUGAGGCCCUAAGCAACUUAAACCUUGGAUCAAAAAAAAAAAAGGGGGGGGGGAGGAUGGGAAAGGCAGCGGAGCACAACAGACACUAGUAUGGCAAUAUGUAAAUCAAUGGAUGUGUAACUGAUGUGAUUCUGCAAUCUGUGUAUGGGGUGAAGGUGGGAGUUCAUAACCCACUUGAAUCAAAGUGUGGAAUAUGAUAUGUCAAGAAAUUUGUAAUGUUUUGAACAACCCACAAUAAAAAAUUAAAAAAAAAAAAAAUUAAAGGGCUAGGGAUGUGGCUCGGUGGUUAAGCAUCUCUGGGUUUAAUCCCUGAUACCAAAAAGAAGAAAAAGAAGGGCUGGGAUGUGGCUCAGUGGUAGAGCAUUUGCCUAGCAUGUCUAAGGCCUUGGGUUCAAACCCCAGCAUAUACAACAAAAGAUGUUUUCUAGGGUGGAUAUGUCCUUACAAGGUGAAAUGUGUUUUGGUUUGUUUGGUGGACUUCAUGGUUCCAUGUUGUUAAAUAUUGCAGGAAGAUUUUCCUUCUACAUGAACUUUGCAGGCCUGGGUGUUCACAAGAAUCACUGAAAAGUUCCUGGCUCAGAAUUGAUGCAGAUCCUGGGAAUCUACACUCUCAAUAGGCAAGUGACCCAGAGGCAAAAGAGAUAGAUCCAUCUUCUACUGUGUUUUUUCUCCUUCUGAUGCUUCCUCUUCUUCUUCCUCCCCUGAAAUACAGAGAACCCAAAAGAAAAACCCUGUAAUUCCUCCCAGAGCUCCAAAGAUAAAAGGGCACUGCUUACAAGGCUUUCUGAUGUUAGAAUAACUCUGGCUAUUAUAUUUAAUCAGAUGUCAGAGUUCCACUUUUAUUCAUGUGAAAUGCUUAAUCUUCUACCUUGGUGACAAGCAGGGCAGGGCACAUCUUCCAAGCACUACACUGUAACCUUCAGAAAACAAACUAGUAAGAGCUUAAUUAGCAGGUAAUUGCCCAGUUGCUUGCAGAUGGAGGCAGAUUGUUCUAGUGAUGGUAAUUGUGGUUGUUGAUGUUUUCUUCUUGGGCAAGGGCCUAUGAGUUCCCAGCUCUGGCUUUUCUGUCUUCUGGAAGAGGACAGGGCAGGAACCCAAGAGGCCUAGGAACCCAAGAGGCCUAGCCCUUGCCUUGGUUUCUGUGUCAGACUGUACAGGAAGAAUGGAUUGGUUAUAACCAGACUUAGGGCAAUGGAACCCAAACCAUUGAUUUCCUAAGUCAUUAGCAACUCCUCCAGGAGAAAGGAGCCCCCAGCCCAGGCAUGGUUGGUAACUUUUCUCUUACCUGAGCAAUGAUGGGACUCAUGGAGCCCACACAGUUCCAUCCUAUUCCUAGCUGUCAGGCAUUCCCAUCAAAACCUCCAAUUCCUUCAUGCCCCUGGCCCAUUCUCUUUGUCACUCUCCUGUAACUUCUCAGACUUUCAGGGUUUCCAGGAUCUCUUCCCAUCCUAAAAAUCUUGGAUUCUGCCAUCUUAAAGGAACCCAUACUGGAUCUUUCAGCUUACAAUAAUCUCUCUCAUUCUUUGCUUCCAAGCUUGUCUAGGGAGAAAAGUCUAGCUUUAUAACUUCUCAUUCUGCAACCCAAACACCCUUAUCCCAGGCGCAUGGCUGUCCUAGGCCUGCCAGGGAUAUUGAGGGUGACAUUGUGCCAGGAACUAUGCCAAGUGCUUCCUAAGCACUCUCAUUCCACCAUCACAACACCUCUGAGACUGGUAUUAGUUCUUUCUCACUUUAUGGAUGAGAACACUCAGUCUCGGAGAAGUCAAGUCACACAUCCCAGGGCAGAGCCCAGCCCCCUCUGCCGCUUAAAUCUGUGCUCUUAGCCACCAUUCUACCAUGGAAAUAUCCCACCCGAGCUUCUGAGGAGCCAGAUGCUAAGCCUGAAUAGAGGAAGUGAGAGUAGCUUAAGCAAACUGAACCCAAGAAAAAAAAUGCCCCUAUUCGCUGGGCACACCUAUAAUCCCAGAGACUCAGGAGUCUGAAGCAGGGGUAUGGCAAGUUGGAAACCAGCCUCAGCAAUUUAGCAAGACUUUGCCUCAAAAUAAAAAAUAAGGGGGGCUGGGGGUGUAGCUCAGUUGGUAGAGUACCUACCUAGCAUUCACAAGGCCCUAGGUUCAAUCCUCAGCACCACCAAAAAAAAAAAAAACCCAGAAAAAUAAAAAGAACUGGGGAUGUAGCUCUGUGUCCCUGGGUUUAAUCCUCAGUACUGUGAAAAAGAACAAGAAAAAAGAAAUGUCCCCUUUCUUCUCUGCCUAACCACAGAUUUGAAUUACCUCAAAACUCACCAGAAAGCUUUCCCGGCUCACAAGUGAGUUACAAACUUAUUCCAGAGACUGGUAAAUGAGUGACAGAAAUUGAAGAAAGAAUGUGUUCAGGGCCAUAAAGCUGAGAAGAGGGGGAAAAAACCUAAGUCUCUAAAUGCUUGUGACGUCUUGAGCUAGAUGGCUAUAAAAGGUGAAGCAGGCCCUGCGCCUGACAGCCACAGACUUUUAAACACUAGUCACAGUUCUGUGGCCUCAUAGUCUUGCUGCUGGAAAUCAGAGAACAUCCUGUCCUACACUUCUGGGGGACAAAGCAGAGUUUUACCAAGUGUGGCUGAAUGGAGUUGGCCUCCUGCCCCUGCAGACCUGAUGUGGACAGGAACCCUGAAAUUGUCUUCAGAACCUUCCUUAGCCCCAGCUGCUCUGCUGGCCACCCCUCCUCACAGAGGAUCUUGCUGUUCCUAUGACAACACUGGCCCCUCUCAUGCUCCCCCUCCUUGCCCUCAAGUGGCCCAGUAGAGAGGUGCCUUCCAGAGCACAGAGGACUUUGCAGACUCUUUGGAAGCAAGGUGGUCCAGAGCACAGACUUUAGAGUCAACAGAGCAAAAUGCUGGCUCUGCAUUCUUAAGCAAACCAUUUAACCUCUCAUGCCUCAGUUUUAAAUAAGCAAAUAUCUAUAAUUAAGCACAGUUCCUAGCUCAUAGAAAGGACUGACUUAUUUUUAUUUCAGCUCUAAGUGCUAGGUUCCCAAGCCCCACCUAAUAUCCUAGUUUCCCUAAUGCCGCAUCAAGUCAGAGAAUCUUACUAGAAGAAACUCAGAAGUCACCUAAUAGAAUUAUUUUUCUCUAUAUGAUUUUCACACAUAUACAUUUCUAAGAAUGAGAUAAUAUGUCAGUAAAGUACUGAAUGUGUGCCUGGGUCAUAGUGAGUGCUUAACAAACAUUAGUGGGUUUUUUGUUUUUGUUGGUUUAUCUACAUAGGUAUUCAUUGAGCCAUCUGUGCAUCCAAUAGCCACUUAUUGAGUGCCCUGGGAAUUGCACUCUUAGUUUGACAGGGCAUUGCCCCAGGAGAGAAACACAUAACCAAAUCAAAUAAAUAAGCGAGAAAAUAUUUGAGGGCCUAUAUUUUCUAAACUGUAUUUUCUGUGUGACUAUUUUCAUACCUGAAGGGAAGAGAUUCACUCACUUCUCAAGGAUGAGUCAGAUUGCCACCCCUUCUCAUGGAGGAUGUUGCUGUUCCUAGGACAAUGCAUGCCCCUCCCUCCUGCCUCCAUUUGACCCAGUGGAAAGGCGCCUUCUGGGGCACAGAGGACGUAUUCAAGUAGUGUGGCAUUUCAAAGAAUGAAGAUAUGUGCUUUUUUCAAAGAUUAUAUCAUUCAAAAGUGCUUUCAAUUAUUUUAAAUAACUACAAGAUUGGCAAAUCCUGGACUUUUUUAAGGGGGAGGAUGUUUGGGAAAUGGAAGAACACCAUUCAGACUCAUGUAGGGUAGGAAAUGCCAUCUCUGGCUGUGCUACUCCAGAAUGAGGAGUGACAAGAAUGAGGACACCUGAUCUUGGGAGACAACCUGGGAGAGCCAGCUCUGAAAAGAAGAGCUGAGCCAGACACACCCAUCCCCAUCUUGCUAUGCCUCCCCUCCUGCAUCCUCACUCCCUGACAGGCACAGUGUCAUUUGGUAAGGGAGCAUAUAGCUUUAAUACAGGAACACAGACCAUUGCCAUCCAGGGCACUUGAAUCAAGUGCUUGUCUCUCCACUAAGAAGAGCUGCUUAGAGACUCGCCUCCAGCUGCUCCAACAUGGCCACGCCUAAGAACAGAGCAGGGAGGAAGAGCAUGAGAAGAAGAUUAACAUUAAACAGGGACGAGAGGUGGGAGGGAAAGGGAGAGAGAAGGGAAUUGCAUGGAAAUGGAAGGAGACCCUUAUCUGUAUACAAAAUUACAUAUAAGAGGAGGUGAAGGGAAAGGGGGAAAAAAAAACAAGGGAGAGAAAUGAAGUACAGUAGAUGGGGUAGAGAGAGAAGAUGGGAGUGGAGGGGAGGGGAGGGGGGAUAGUAGAGGAUAGGAAAGACAGCAGAAUACAACAGACACUAACAUGGCAGUAUGUAAAAACGUGGAUGUGUAACCGAUGUGAUUCUGCAAUCUGUAUACGGGGGAAAAAUGGGAGUUCAUAACCCACUUGAAUCAAAUGUAUGAAAUAUGAUAUGUCAAGAGCUUUGUAAUGUUUUGAACAACUAAUAAAAAAAAAAAC
rnacentral:lncRNA from 1 species